AACACCAGCUAUAUCACUCUGAAACUCACAAGUGGCAACCCACUGAAGUAGAUGUGAGCCUGGUCAGUACCUGGAUGGGAGACCUCCUGGGAAAAAUUAAGGUUGCUGCUGGAA
rnacentral:rRNA from 1 species